UAUAAAUAAUUUUCAAAUGCAUACCUGUAUAUGCAGACAUAUGGUCUUUGAGCUCAUUACAGAACAUUUCUCCCAGAUGCUCUUCAGUUUAAGUGUUCAUGGCUUUGAGGUAGGGGUUGUUGUUCGUUGUUUUUUGUUUUGUUAGCUUGUUUGUUCGUUUUCCAGGAUCUAGUUCAACACCGUUAUGGAGUUCAUUGGGAUUAAACACAGCAGGAUUAUGGGGUUCACCAAGAUAAAAGGAUGCCUUCAGUCUGUCAGCAAAAAUAAUUGUAGUGUUUAAACUAGUUUAUAAUUCAAAAUAACAACCAAGGAUGUUCUGGGGAAAAAAAAUAAUAAUUUUAAAAAAUUGUAAAAUUUAAUUCUUUGUAUUGUUCAAGGGACUGAAGAAUUCAGAUUUCCCAUUUUUUGUUUUACAUCUGGAAAGGUAAUGUACAGCUUCUACUGGCAUAGAAGUAUGUGCCUAAUUCUUUGUUUUGAAAACAUACCCCUAAAAACCAUGUAUAAGAACUGUGUGAUGGUACAGGGGAAUGAAAACACUCCGUUUUAAAAGUCUAAUUCCCCACUUUCUUUUUAGCCUAGUCAGUAUUUCAUUCACACACACUUUUAAUAUUCUUGUUUCCUAAAUCAUAUAUUAAUGUUUUUGGUCUCUAUAGCUGAAAGGCAUAAUUCCAGUAAUGAGGGGAAAUAAGCAGAAUGCUUGAUGAAGUAGCUAAGCUACCAAACAACAAACAGAAUGUUUCAUCAACUAUGUUUUAACAACUGGUAUAUAAAGCUGCCACGGUUUGUCAUUUCCUCGCCAAGAAAUGCAUCGCUUUUUAUUACAAUGUGGUAUGUAUCAAAAGGGUCAAAUAAAGCAAAAUAUUGUGAAAGCAUAAUAUACAGCAGCAAUAGAAAGUGAGCUAAGAGGAUGUCAUAGAAAAAAAAUAUAUGUUUUUAUAAUUAUAUCAUACAGUAAUUCUGUAUUUUUGUUUGUUUUUCCUACUUCUGUGAGAACUCUGGCACAUCUACUAAAUCACAUAGAAAGACCCAGAAUCAGCAGUUACCCUCAAGUUACUCUGGAAGAACUUCCUAGGCUCAAACAAAACCCCAAAUUACGUACGGACCAGGGGAAGGACACUCAGUUUUGUUGGCUUCAUCCUGUGACUCCCUGCCUUUUAGCUUGCUCAGGGGCAGAUGCUGGAGCUCAGGGCCACCAGCGUGACAUAAAGGUGACUGGGCAGAUGUGCCUGGCAUGCCGAGCCACAGAACGGGCAGAAGAUGCAGCAGCUGGGGGCUUGUUUCUUCUUCUGGACCUGGAACUCCAUGGAGUCAGGAGAAAAGUUGUGCUUUUGUCAAAUACAUGUAAGGUCAAUGACUUAGCCAAUGCAGGAUGGAUGGAAAAAUAAGAGGUGAAGGCAUACUCUUGAAUGAAUUACUGUUGUCUUCAACUCUGGGUAUAAAAAAAUGAUAAAGUGCAUCAGAUGUUCAGUUCAGUCUAAGCAUGAUGAUGACAGCAAGCCCAAGAGUAAAGAGAAUGCUUCAAAAAGCAAUUUAGAAAAAUUAGGACAUACAGAAGUUUUUGUCAUCCAUUAACAGCAAAAGUUCCUGACAAAAAGUGCUCUGAAAUGGUAAUCCACCUAGUCAAAACCUGAUGCCAUAUUUCAGCUGAGGAAGACUGCUGGCUGCAGCAGCAAUUAGGCACAACUAACAAUAUGGAAUGUAAAAUGAACAUUCAUAGUAUGCAAAAAUGCGUAAUUAGGACUUAAGGUAGAUAAAUUUCUAGAGAACAGGGAAAAAACAGUUAUGAUGAUAACCCAUGAGUCCUGUUCACAUUCUGGAUUGAUUAAUUUAUUACAAAUUUUCAGUAUUUUAGAUGUCAAUAUAAUGUCCAUACCCAUCAAUCAUCUUAAAGGAUUUACUAGGAAGUGCACAGAUGUAUAAAAAUACUUUAAACCCUCACUUGCUAUGACUUUUUGCAUGCUUUUCCUUCUUGCCAAUUUUGAUCUGAUUUAUUUCCUCUAGCAAAUUUUCUCCCUAUUCUAAAUCUUUAUUUCCAAUAUUUAUAGUGUAAUAUAAUUAUGAAAAGAAUUUUCACAUAUGAGUAAGUUUUGUUUUCUAAUGAGUACGUUUUGGUUUCUUUUUAGCUGCUGGUAACCUGUAUUUCAUGCCACCAUGUGACUUAGUCUAGUAUCAGACAUCAAAAGCACAAAAUAGUAGAAAGAUUUUCUUUGUUCACUCAGUAUCAAGGUAAUAGAUAUUCUACUCCUUUGACUGCAAAAUAUUUAGAGAAGGCAGGACUGGAGCAGGGCAAAACUUGUAGUUUGGGGAAAAGAAUCAGAGUAGAAGAAGGCAGAACAAGGUCAAGCAUGGGGAACCGAGGGCUGGGGGAGACGGUGGCUGUGGGCUGGUCUCAAGCUCCCAGUUGAGGCCUUGCAGUGAGACUUACUUCAUAUCUGCCAGCUUCUUUUUGAAGCUGUGUGAGCAGGCAGUUUCAGCACCCAGGCAGGUGGCUGUGAGGACAAACCUGCUAGCAGAUGCCCCAGCAGUGUCUCACACCUGUGUAACUGUCUGCCUGCAACCUGAAAGAUUAACCUGGCACCCAUUAAUUAAGCACUUUAGCUGGAAAGCAGACACUGUUCUUUCUUCUGUAGUCCUUACAAUCUAAUCCUUCCCUGAAUUCAAGUACAGGUGAUGUGAGUUGUUUCUGUAUGUUUGUUUGCUUGCUUGCUUGUUUGUUUAUUUUCUUUGACAUUUAAUGUUUUCUCUAACUUUUCUGUGUAGGCCCUGUCAGUGUCCACAAGACUGGAAGUAUUGUUCCUGUAAAUUAAUGUAGAAUUAAAAAAAAAAAAGAGAAACCUUCUCUGCUUUCCCCUAUUUGCAAGCCAAUUGAACAUGUCUUUGUGGUGGGGGAGGCACGCUGGACUCUAUGGAAUCAGCUUCUAGUAUUCAAAGGAGCCACUGGAAAUGAAAACAUGACUAUACAUCAGCAUGCUGGCACCUUGUUUUAGCUGAUGAAACAACAGUAAACCUCACAGCUUCAAGGUAAACUAUGUCUGCCAAAACUACCUGAAGUUCAUAAGAGUAAUUAAGAUCUACACCCAGAAGAAUAAUUAAAAUAUUCAAAACAUCUAUUGAUCUUGAACAUCUGGUGACUUGUCAGUAACCACAGAUACACAAAACCAGCCUGUUUUAACAUACUGUUAAUUUGCAGUCUUUGAUUAAAUAGAUUUUUUUUGGUAUGUGUCCGUAAUAACUAAAAGGAUCAGCCCUGCCAUUCAUUACAUUCUUUUUAAUAAAUGACCUCUGUUUUGUAUCCCAGCAGGGAAGUUUGUAACAGUGAAUGUUCCUGUCGAUUGAAAAUUGAUCUUUUCCAAGGGAUGUUCUAAAAGAUUAAGCAGGUAUCUUUAGGCAUGAGACUCAGGUCACCUCCAUCCUGUAAGUAGCAUUCUUGAUUUUAUUUCUGUUUUUGUUUUUAGAUCUGUGGCUUCAGCCAAGACCUGUGUCUUUCAGACCACAGAAUUUUUUUCUCUUCUACUAACUUUGAAAAUAUGUAAGUCACAAGCUGCAUUGAUACAUGAAAAAAUAAAUAGUGGGAUAUAGACGAUAAUGACUAUACUCAUGUCAUGUUGAAGAGAAAAAUACCUGUCUCUAUAGACAUUUCAUAGCUUAUUGAUCUUUGCAAGAAUAUUUUUUUCUUCUCAGCCUCAAAAUCUGCUGCAAAACAACUGACCUUUUCUUUUUAAAUAAUGUAAAUAAUUUCUUUUUUGAUGGACUAGAACCAUAGGGCCUGGUCAUGCCCUAUUAAAUACUAUUGAUGGAAGCAGAGUACAACUUGGAGUAAUGUCAGCCAAAGUAUCUUUCUGUCAAAUUACCAUUUUCAAGUCUGAAUAAACUAUACAAUAAAGAAAAAAGAAAACCAAACCCUACAGGGCAAUCCAGAAGGAAAAAAAAAAAAAAAAGAAAAAAAGAAAAAACCAAUAAACCAAGUAAACCAAGCUAACAAACAAAACCUGUGUGGCUAUCUGAAAAUUGACUACGUUGCAGAUUGUAUUACAAGUUGAACAUGGAUUAAAUUUGUUGAAAGAUAGCUCAAGUUCACAAGAUCUCAGAGCAAUUUUAAAUCUAUUUAAGAUGGCUUACUCACUGCAUUAUUUGAUAAUGUCUGACCUUAGUGAAACAUCCAAAGGAGAUCUCUCUUCUUAGAGUUGUAUUUUCAGUGGAGCACAUUCACGGUGCAUUGAAAUUCUGGGUCUUGAGAAUGGUUGCACUAAGCCCUUCAGAAUUAAACCACUGAGCAUCAUAAACUCAAAAGUCCAUGUAUCAAGCUCAUGACAGAAGGGUCUUGAAUCCACCUCCUGCCCAAAGGUAUGCAGGAGGCCCUUAUAGUCACUGUGUUCUUGCUUCUUUUUGCUAAUAUCUAUGAAAACUUGACUACCGCACCCCGCUCUGUCUGUGUAAUGUAUGUAUAAUUUUUUAUUUAUCACUUUAAACUCUGGCAAUGAUCAUGUUAUAGUGCUGGUUUUGCCUAAGAGACAUGUCGUUUGAAAAGUAUGAUAUAGUCCCAAAACUGCUGCAAGGCAAAUGUUGAAGCAGUGAUGAAGCCACUGUUUCAAUCUUCCUGGGACUUGCUUUUAAUUUUAUUAGUUUAAUAUGAAUAUAUGUUAGAUGAGUUGCUUAUUAGAUCAGUUGAAAUGCUAAAGCCUGUUACCUCUGUGGAAGAACUGAUUAUCUUAAACCCUUUCAUUUCCAAAUGGUAUACUCCUUGUCCAUUUUUAAUUCAAAGCAGCUUUAUUAAUUCUUUCUAUGGUACUCCUCUGUGCUGCAAUUACAGCAUUAGUCUGAGCUUUUCAGACUUGAUAACAGAUUCUAAUUUUAUCCCAUCUGUUUCAUUGUAAGGAUUUUUUUCAUGCCUGGAGGUGGCUUUUCCUUAAUCAUUUCUUCUGUACAAGAUUGCUAGUAGAAGCUUAAAAGGCUUUUCUUCCUGCAAAGAUCAACUGCUGGUUUCUUCUCCAUCAGGACAAUGUAUCAGCAGUUCUCUGGAUAAAUUGUCUAGAAGGCAAUCAUUUGGAAGCUCUUACCAAGCUAGGAAGGUUGUUAGCUUUUGAUCUCUUUUCUUAAAUAAUAUCACUGCAAAGUUACCCUAGCAUACUGACAUUAGAUCUCUGCUGGGUUAUCUUCUUGAGAGUAAAGAUUACAGAAAGAUUCUUUGUUAAGUUCCAAAUUGAAAUAAACAAAAUUUGUUCUCAGGCCUCAGAUAUUCAUGUGAACAUACCACUGCAGGUUCUGACAUGCAUGUACAUGUGAAGCAACAAGCGAAUCCAGGUGACAAGUGGAAAUGAAUGGAUAGUUAAAAAAAUAAUAAUCACAAUUUCAUUUUGUUAGUAAUUUUUAAAUCCCUUUGAGAUUUGCAUUUUGCCUUUGCAUUUGUGUUGACAAUGGUAUGGCUGACAGUACACCUAAUUUUGACUAAGAUGUUCAAAGAUAAAGUGGUUUAGCUCAGGUUUUGGCUCUUCAUGCCCAUAGACAGUCACCUAAAUGAUAAUAAAAGAUGAAAAAUUCAUGGAAUUUAAUACUUCUGUGAAAGAUAAUUCCUGAAAGCUUUCAUUUAUCACUCAUGACCUUUCUGAAUGUAUAGUUUCUGGAGACAAUCACAGAGUCUUCAACUAUCCUUGUGAACUUGACAGGUCUGUGAUCUUCAUUGGAAGUUAACUAUUCAUCAGAAUAUACAUUGGAAGGCUAGGGAAUAAGGGCUGGUCUGCAGCUGCAUGUAUAUCCCUUAUCUGCAGAUAGAUGUCCUUAAAAAUCCUUUUGGGAAGGUGAGUCAUGAUAAGCUUGGAAUUAAGCAAGUUCAUUCUUCCUGGCUGAAUGUAAAAAUCAGAAAGUAGGAAUGAUUUCCAGCCAUGUUGUCAAUAUUAACAAACAGGCAAAUAGCUUUAUAUCUGGACGUUCGGAUGGUACAGUCUUGAUUUUGCCUCAUUUUGAUGUUACAUUUGAUAUGGAGAUAUUCCUCAGUUGUGUGAACAUUUAGGCAGUGAUUACAACCUAAAGCAUAUACAUACUGGCUGUAAAAAGCCCUAUGUACUUGAAUUUUUUAAACACAGGUUUGGAUUUCUGUUGUGCCCUUGCCACAGGACUUUUUGUAGUAAAUAUAUUUUAUAUAUAUACACUUCCAUUUGACCAGUUUUAGCAUUUGUUAAGCUGGGCCACUCUGCCAGUUAAAUUGAUCACAAUAGUUUUAACUAUAAAUAAUUUUUAUAAAUAACUUUACAUACUUUUAAUAGUUAAGAUUGAUUGCAUUUUUAUAUAUGUAUUCAUAUUUCAGAUGAUUCUUGUUUCACAGAAAGACAGACAGUAAAAUUAAGAACAUAUCCACAACCCAUCUUCAAAAUGCGGGGUGUCAGUCACUGCUUGAGCCAGGCUUUACAGCUCAUUCAUAUCAAAUUUCUGUACAUCUAAAUAGUCUGAUAUUUUUGAAGAUCCUUCUCCAUUUCAGAUAGCUGGUAUCAUAAAAGUAUUUUAGACUGUUAUUCAACAGUUAUAUGA